rnacentral:misc_RNA from 1 species
UGGUUCUGGCAUCGAUGAAGAACGCAGCGAAAUGCGAUAAGUAAUGUGAAUUGCAGAAUUCAGUGAAUCAUCGAAUCUUUGAACGCACAUUGCGCCCUUUGGUAUUCCGAAGGGCACACCCGUUCGAGCGUCAUUACACCACUCAAGCCUGGCUUGGUAUUGGGCGACGAGGCACCCCUCGCGCUCCAAUUUCACCGGCGGACCGGCCGCGUUGCAAGCGUUGUAGUCUGUUAUGGAUUCGCACGCAGCGUCAGGAAUUUAAGUCUUGCCGUUAAACAUUCCAACAAGGUUGACCUCGGAUCGGGUGGGGAUACCCGCUGA